GACAGAGGGUGCAGACGUUGCUCGGAAUUACUGGGCGUAAAGCGCGUGUAGGUGGAUUGGUGUGUCAGAUGUGAAAGCCCUGGGCUCAACCCAGGAACUGCACCUGAAACUACCAGUCUUGAGUGGUGGAGAGGGAAGUGGAAUUCCUGGUGUAGAGGUGAAAUUCGUAGAUAUCAGGAGGAACACCAGUGGCGAAGGCGGCUUCCUGGACACUAACUGACGCUGAGACGCGAAAGCGUGGGGAGCAAACAGG
rnacentral:rRNA from 1 species